GGGCUGCAGUAUUUUGACUGUACAAAGGUAGCAUAAUCAAUAGUCUCUUAAUUGGUGACUUGUAUGAAAGAUUGGAUGAAAUAUAUACUGUCUCUAAUUAAUUUAUAGAAAUUAAUUUUUUAGUAAAAAAGCUAAAAUAAUUUUAAAAGACGAGAAGACCCUAUAGAGUUUAAUAAUUUAUUUAAUUAUAUUUAUUAUAUAAUUUUUAAAAUUAAAAUUAAAUAAAUUAUUUUGUUGGGGUGAUAGAAAAAUUAAAUUAACUUUUUUUAAUUGUUAACAUUAAUUUAUGAAUAAAUGAUCCAUUAAUAAUGAUUAAAAGAAAAAAUUACCUUAGGGAUAACAGCGUAAUUUUUUUUUUUAGUUCAAAUAGGAAAAAAAGUUUGCGACCUCGAUGUUGGAUUAA
rnacentral:rRNA from 1 species